rnacentral:rRNA from 1 species
GACGUAGGUGGCGAACGUUUAUCCGGAAUUAUUGGGCGUAAAGGAUGCGUAGAUGGUGUAGUAAGUUAUCGGUGGCAAAUCGAGGCUCAACCUCGUGGAAGUCGGUAAUACUGCUAUGCUAGAGGAUAGGAGAGGUUAACGGAACUCCCUGUGGAGCGGUGAAAUGCGUAGAUAUAGGGAAGAACACCAAUCAGGCGAAGGCAGUUAACUAUUCUAUUCCUGACAUUGAGGCAUGAAAGCGUGGGGAGCAAAACGGG